GCCUCAUACCUAGUAGAAUCAAUAGGUCAUUGCCCUAUAUGCGGCGAUUGACGAGGCACAGCUCAAAUUUGAAAUCUGGCUCUUUCAGAGUCCGAGUUGUAAUUUGCAGAGGGCGCUUUGGCUUUGGCAGCGGUCCAAGUUCCUUGGAACAGGACGUCUCAUAGGGUGAGAAUCCCGUACGUGGUCGCUAGCUAUUGCCGUGUAAUGCCCCUUCCACGAUCCGAGUUGUUUGGGAAUGCACCUCUAAAUGGGAGGUAAAUUUCUUCUAAAGCUAAAUAUUGGCCAGAGACCGAUAGCGCACAAGUAGAGUGAUCGAAAUAUGAAAAGCACUUUGGAAAGAGAGUCAAACAGCACGUGAAAUUGUUGAAAGGGAAGCGCUUGCAGCCAGACUUGCUUGCAGUUGCUCAUCCGGGCUUUUGCCCGGUGCACUCUUCUGCAGGCAGGCCAGCAUCAGUUUGGGCGGUGGGAUAAAGGUCUCUGUCACGUACCAUCCUUCGGGAUGGCCAUAUAGGGGAGACGUCAUACCACCAGCCUGGACUGAGGUCCGCGCAUCUGCAAAGAUGCUGGCGUAAUGGCUGUAAUCGGCCCGUCUUGAAACACGGACCAGGGAGUCUAACAUCUAUGCAGAGUGUUUUGGGUGUCCAGCCCGAGCGCGUAAAGAAAGUGAACGGAUGUGAGAAACCCGCUUUGGGUGCACAUUCGACCGAUCCUACAGUUGACA
rnacentral:rRNA from 1 species